UUAGUUCCAUUAAAAAAAAAAAAUCACCUGAUUUGAUUGCAUUAUGAAGAUAUCCACUUGUAACGGAGAAGACGAUGUUGCUUGUGCAUCCGAUAUCGAACUGAAUAAUCUGCUGACUUUAGCCAUUUUGUUUAUGACGUGUACCACGAUCAACAUAGCUGCUUUCUUGUACGAGAGACAUGAUUACGAUGAAUCCGAAGAAGUUGAUCCAUCCACUUCCAUGGCUACUGGAUGCGAAGACACUGCAACCAGCGAGAGGAUCGAAACGAUGGAACGAAACAAAAUCAGCCCAAAAUGAAGAAGAGUCACAUUGCAUGACGACUGUUGACGAUGAUCCACUCAACGCUAUGCCCAACUGUUGGUACAAGGUUAUUGCUAAGGCAAUCCGAACAGGAGAUACGUUAAUUAUUGUGUUGUUUACACUCGUUUCGGUGGCUUAUAGUUUAAUUGCUAGUCUUCUUCUUCUCUUUGGUUAUCGAUACGUUACCGGUCCGUACGAAACCAAUCCGUUUAGCUGGAUGACACCUUUUAUAGAAGGAUUGAGUAGCGUGUUUCCACUUGUUUAUGGCCCUAUGGUGUUUCUUAUGGUAAAUAAGGAAGCACUGUACCCGUCUCGAAAGAAAAUUAAAAACGAUUAAUUGAGAUUUCGGAUAUUGUGAAUGAGAUUUCAACGGAGAAGUUUCAAUGAUGACCAUCUUAUAAAAACACGAUGAGAUGUGGCGGAGACAUAAGAUAAAAACAAUAGAUGAUUGCCUAGAAUUGUGUUUUACCUUUUUGAUGUUUCAAUUACACGCCCACUAAUCAUUCCCAUGUUUGCAUUCACCACCCUUGUCGUUCGUGUACGAUUAACCGCUUGUAACAUGUAAAUUGUUUGAGAAGACUAAUUACAAAGAUAAGAGUUAAUUCAACAUGCAAA